AUUCAAUUGUAUUGGCGGACAAAAACAACGGGUUGACAGACAAAGUUGUAUAUUCCAAACAAAUAGAAAAAGUGAAUAUCAGAGAUUGUAAAAAUUAUGAUAAUUCAACAACUGUCGAAAGUUCAGAGGAGGAAGAUGAAAUUAUUAAGAGGAAAAGAAGGAGAAAAAACACAAGAUUUUGUGACAGAUAGUGUGAAUGAUGAUAUCUCAGGUUGGAGACGGUAAAGGUUCAGAUUAUGAAAUGCUUAAACUUUAAAGUAUGCCCCAGAUCGCCAUAGUGGAGGUGGACGAAAGAAGAAUGCUAAUUAAGAUAUGUGAACAUUGAUUUGUAGUAAUAUCAAAUUAUUACAAUAUUGUUCCAUUUAAAAUUCAGAACAAAAAGUACAAAAAAAAUAUACAAUCAGUGAGUUGGAUAGAUUAGAUGAUUGGAAAAUCCCAACCUCAGGGUAAUCGGUGCAGUCGGAAAUAAGCCUUGGUGAUAUAAGAAAAACAUGCAUGAAUGUUAACCAUAAAAAAUGUCAGUGUUAAUGUUUAUGAAGAAUUUUGUAUAUCUAAAACAUGAUUAUUUAGUACAUGAAGCGUUAUUUACGUACAUACUGUCAAGUUUAAUAGUUCAAAAUACAUUAUGUUAAUGUUACAUUUGUUAUAGUAUCACAUUUAUUGUUUUGUACAUGUGA